UACGUAGGCAGCAAGCGUUGUUCGGAGUUACUGGGCGUAAAGGGUGUGUAGGCGGUUGGAUAAGUGUGGUGUGAAAUCUCCCGGCUUAACUGGGAGGGUGCGCUACAAACUGUCUGACUAGAGUGUGGGAUGGGAGAGUGGAAUUCCUGGUGUAGCGGUGAAAUACGUAGAUAUCAGGAGGAACACCGGUGGCGAAGGCGGCUAUCUGGCCCAAUAUUGACGCUGAGAUGCGAAAGCGUGGGGAUCACACAGG
rnacentral:rRNA from 1 species